UUUCCGUAGGUGAACCUGCGGAAGGAUCAUUGUCGAGACCGAAAUAAAUAUCGAGCGAUUCGGAGAACACGUAAUGAAAGCGGGGCGAUUCGCCUCCGUGGAAAAAUCUUCCCUGAUCGUUGCCUCCUCCUAGCGGGCUGCGGCACGAUGAGGGAUAGAUGAAAAAUUAUACCCGGCGCAACUCCGCGCCAAGUGCUUGUCAGAACACAUGAUCCCGCAUUGGGCUCAGUGUCAAGGGGUGCGAUGCACCCUAUAUUACCGACACGACUCUCGGCAAUGGAUAUCUCGGCUCUUGCAUCGAUGAAGAGCGCAGCGAAAUGCGAUACGUGGUGCGAAUUGCAGAAUCCCGCGAACCAUCGAGUCUUUGAACGCAAGUUGCGCCCGAGGCCAACCGGCCGAGGGCACGUCCGCCUGGGCGUCAAGCGUUGCGUCGAUUCGUGCCUGCUCCAUCACCUCCGCGGGUGCGUGGGCCAGUGCUCGAAUGCGCAGAGUGGCUCCUCGCACGCUCUGGUGCGGCGGGCUGAAGAGCGGGGAAUCAUCUCGUUGGCCGCGAGCAACAAGGGGUGGAUGCAGGAUAUACGCCUGUGUUGCGUCGUGCUGGACCGUGAAGAGGUGAUGCGCUCCCAAAAUUUCGAUCCCGAUCCACGCGCCGGCAUGAAGGCGCCGGAAUGGAAUGCGACCCCAGGAUGGGCGAGGCCACCCGCUGAGUUU
rnacentral:rRNA from 1 species